UACGUAGGGUGCAAGCGUUGUCCGGAAUUAUUGGGCGUAAAGAGCUCGUAGGCGGUUUGUCGCGUCUGCUGUGAAAACUCGGGGCUUAACUCCGGGCCUGCAGUGGGUACGGGCAGACUAGAGUGCGGUAGGGGAGACUGGAAUUCCUGGUGUAGCGGUGAAAUGCGUAGAUAUCGAGAGGAACACCUGCGGCGAAGGCGGGUUGCUGGGCUGACACUGACGCUGAUGUGCGAAAGCUAGGGGAGCGAACGGG
rnacentral:rRNA from 1 species